CCACAAUUAGGGUCGAAAUGGGGUAAUUCGUUCACGAGGAGUCAUCGACGAGAGUAUUGAUCAUAUCCUAAUCAUUAUUAAGGGCCCGCAGGUCGAGUAAUGGCCCUGGACCAAAUAGCAACACCUUGGCUGAGCAAGUUACCAAAAAAUAAAAAGAAAUGUACGCAGUAGUAGACCUGCAUAUAGUAUAAGUGGCCCCGACGUGAGUUGGAAGCUCCGCGGUCUAUACAAGAGAUGCGACAGACAGUAAACAAUAGCAUCCAAAUGGCUCGCAGGCUGGGUAAGUAGCCUGUGGAGGUAAUAAAACAAUUUUCAGCUUCAUUUUGCACUAGUAGCCCUAGGCUUGGAAAACAUGGCAAGCGACAUAAGGAAACUUGUGAUUAGAUCCGCAAGUUACCCGAGAAGGGGCACUGGACGCGGUGGUGGCUUGAUCGGCGACUAGGGCGGAGGCAGUGGUGGGUGCAAUGGGCGACGAUGGUGGCUACGGUGGAGGCGGAAAUGGAUGCGAUGGUUGGGUGGCUGCAAUGGUAGACGAUGGUAGCUACGGUGGUGGCUAGAUAGAUGGAUGGAGGACAGAAAUGGCAGACAGAUCAAAAUGGGUGGAAUGGUGUGCGAGCUACGCAGAUUUAGAAUUAGCGGUGGAUUAUAUACUAUAAUCUGCCACCAUUCCUAGAAACUGUGGCGGAUUAUAAAGGGUAUUUUUUUAAUAAUAAACAUUAUGCCA